rnacentral:lncRNA from 1 species
AAUAAUAUAUGAGAAUUGGAUAGGAAUAAUAUAUGAGAAUUGGAUAGGAAUAAUACAUGAAUAUAUGAGAAUUCGAUAGGAAUAAUACAUGAAUAUAUGAGAAUUGGAUAGGAAUAACACAUGAGAAUUGGAUAGGAAUAAUACAUGAGAAUUCGAUAGUAAUAAUACAUGAAUAUAUGAGAAUUGGAUAGGAAUAAUACAUGAAAAUUCGAUAGUAAUAAUACAUGAGAAUUGGAUAGGAAUAAUACAUGAAUAUAUGAGAAUUCAAUAGGAAUAACACAUGAGAAUUGGAUAGGAAUACGAUGGGAAGGUGCCAUAGGAAUGAUACAGAGCGCACAUGACGAGCGCACGGUAACCGCUGUCCGUGUGUCCGUGUGUCCGUGUGUCCGUGUGUGUGUCCGUGUGUCCAUCUGUCCGUGUGUCCGUGUCCAUGUGUGUGUCCGUGUGUCCAUCUGUCCGUGUGUCCGUGUGUCCGUCCGUCUGUCCGUGUGUCCGUGUGUCCAUGUGUGUCCGUGUGUCCAUGUGUCCGUCUGUGUGUCCGUCCGUCCGUGUGUCCAUGUGUGUGUCCGUGUGUGUGUCUGUGUGUCCGUCUGUCCGUGUCCGUGUGUCCGUGUGUCCGUGUGUCUGUCUGUCCGUGUGUCCGUGUGUGUGUGUCCGUCCGUCCGUGUGUCCGUGUGUCCGUCCGUCCGUGUGUCCGUGUCCGUGUGUCUGUCCGUGUGUCCGUCCAUCUGUCUGUCCGUGUGUGUGUCCGUGUGUGUCUGUCUGUCUGUCCGUCUGUCUGUCUGUCCGUCUGUCCGUGUCCGUGUGUCCGUGUGUCUGUCUGUCUGUCUGUCCAUCUGUCCGUGUCCGUGUGUCCGUGUGUCCGUCCGUCUGUCUGUCCGUGUGUCCGUGUGUCCGUCUGUCUGUCCGUGUGUCCGUGUGUCCGUGUGUCCCUCUGUCUGUCCGUGUGUCUGUCCGUCUGUCCGUGUCCCUCUGUCUGUCCGUGUGUCCGUGUUCGUGUCCGUCUGUCUGUCCGUGUGUCCGUGUGUCCGUCUGUCUGUCCGUGUGUCCGUGUGUCCGUGUGUCCCUCUGUCUGUCCGUGUGUCCGUGUCCGUGUCCGUCUGUCUGUCCGUGUGUCCGUGUCCGUGUGUCCGUGUUCCCGCAGCAUCACGCUGCACCUGAAGAUCUCGUGCCCGGCGUCUCCCGCCUUCGAGCUCCCGCGCGGCGCCGGCGCCGUUCCGCAGGCCCAGCCCUGGUUUGGGAGAGCUGGAAUCGAUUUUUUUCUCAUUUUUCCUGGAUGAAUCCUCGUUUUUCCUGGAUGAAUGCUCGUUUUUCCUGGAUGAAUCCUCGUUUUUCCUGGAUGAAUCCUCGUUUUUCCUGGAUGAAUCCUGUUUCUUCCCUCCCAGAGUCCCCAGGCCCUUCCCGUGAGCAGAACCGACCUGACCCCGGCACCAGCAGCAGCCCCAAACCUCAGAGACUCGAAGGCUGUUUCCUCUUCAGGGCAUUUCUUGUUUUGGUUCUGGCACUGGACUCGAGGCAGUGCCAAACC